GUGACUCCGUUUCAGCUUGUCGACUGCC
rnacentral:sRNA from 1 species